ACGAAUGCGGCUGAAUUAGCUCUGUUUCAGGCUCAGGAGAUGUUGGUGGCUAUGCCGGGUUGUGGCAGCCUCGGCGCCUCGAUCCGGAUAUGCUGCCAUCUGCAUUCCUGUAGAGAGCUGGCCAACAGCAGUUGCUCCUGGCUCAAAAGGGGAACUUACAGCCGUCUGCGACUGAGGAGAGCAGUGCAUGCCCCCGCGCCUCUUCUGCUCGUUUCACCGGGCUGUUGGCAGUGUUCAGUGACGACUGUCUGCUCGUGCGGGAGGCUGGGGACGUUUUGCACUGUAGUUGUUGGUGCUCAAAUGGCUGCAUCCGACCCGUCUUGAAACACGGACCAAGGAGUGCAACAUGCGUGCGAGUCUUGGGGUGCCAAACCCGUCGGCGCAAUGAAAGUGAAGGCAAACCACAUCAUUGACCGAUCCCAGGCUACGCUGUAGCGGGAUUUGAGUAAGAGCGUGCCUGUUGCGACCCGAAAGAUGGUGAACUAUGCCUGAAUAGGGUGAAGCCAGAGGAAACUCUGGUGGAAGCUCGUAGCGAUUCUGACGUGCAAAUCGAUCGUC
rnacentral:rRNA from 1 species